rnacentral:lncRNA from 1 species
UGAAAGUGUAUUUUCAAAGGACACCUAUGGACCGUGGGUUCAUUUGGCAGAAGGUCAGGAGCUCUUUAACAAAAGUGCAAUCGAACGGGUAUGUUUUAUUUUUUUUAGCCGUAGAUAUUGAGAUGAACGGCUGUGGACGAUCUAGGGGGUCUGGGCGGUGGCCGGCGGUGUUCUUUAUAGCGGCACCAUGCCUAACAGGUCAACUGCUCGCCGGAGUUGAUGGAUUCGAUGUUUUAGUGCACCGUUCUUCAAUCCGAGAGCACAAGAAGCAAGAAGAGCUCAAGGGGAUCUCACCUAGGGACUUUUCGCGAUCAGGGUCGGCUCAGGGAACGCGGGCGACACGUUGAGGCGGAGCUCGGUUACCUACAUAGUUUGGCAUGGGUUAGAGAUCAAACUAGAGCACGAGAGAAUGAAGGAGAGAGCUUGACGACCUCGCAUGAGCAUUGUGAAGCUCAGCCAUGGCUCAAUUUCGUCACAGCAGCAGUGAGAUGCGAACCCCACGGUGGCGGCAAACUCGAGCUCAAUGGUGAGAUCUAAUCGACAGCUAAGGGCAGAGCUAGGGCAAAAAGGCGACGUGGAGGGGGUUUCGGUCCUUUAUAGGGGCUUGACGGUUGAUUUCAGGCAACAAAUCUCGCAAAAAACAGAGAUGAGUGUGGAUUUGCCUCAGUAGCGAGAGACUGGCUCUAUCACGACAAGGAAGAAGGGGAGGAUGCGGCUGACCUAUGGGUCCGACCUGGCAGCGACUCAACGGUGCGUGGCCAGUUUGCCAGAGAGAGAAAUAUGAGAGGGGAACACGCGGUCGGCUGGGCCAUCGGGCCGGGAUGCUAGGGCUGCGAUGGGGAGAAAGGGGAAGGGCGCGAGUUGGGCCGCUGGUGAGAGAAGAAAGGGGGAGAGAGAAGUGGCACGCUUGGCCAAGUGGCCAAGCUAGGCCGAGGUGCUAUUGGCCGCACGGAUGGGGAGCAGGCGGGGAGAGGAGGAGGUGAGUGGGCUUUUGGGCCAAAACCAAGGAGAGAGAGAGAGAUUUGCCAUCCUGUUUUGUUUAUUUUUUUUUCUUUUAUUCCAAAGCUAUUUGAACUCAUUUCAAAAUCUUUUUAAAUCAUUUUGAAUUUUAGGUUCAAAUACACUCAUCACAAUAAAUAAAAUACAUAAACAUGAGUGCACAAAAAAGUUGUACACCCUAUAGUUGAUUUUAAAUUUUCAAAGGUCAUU